rnacentral:rRNA from 1 species
UGGGGAAUAUUGGACAAUGGGGGAAACCCUGAUCCAGCGACGCCGCGUGGGUGAAGAAGGCCUGCGGGUUGUAAAGCCCUUUCGGUAGGGACGAAAGCUCUCGACCUAACACGUCGAGAGGAUGACUUAACCUACAAAAGAAGCACCGGCUAACUCUGUGCCAGCAGCCGCGGUAAUACAGAGGGUGCGAGCGUUAAUCGGAAUUACUGGGCGUAAAGCGCACGUAGGCGGCUUGGUAUGUCGGGUGUGAAAUCCCCGGGCUCAACCUGGGAACUGCAUCCGAAACUGCCUUGCUAGAGUAUGGGAGAGGGAAGUGGAAUUUCCGGUGUAGCGGUGAAAUGCGUAGAUAUCGGAAGGAACAUCAGUGGCGAAGGCGACUUCCUGGACCAAUACUGACGCUCAGGUGCGAAAGCGUGGGGAGCAAACA